UUAAGGGCCCCCGAGGGCUGUCACAGAAAGUGCAAGCUGUCCAGGUGAUGGUCCGCAGUGGGGAAGCUACAAAGUGGAUGAGUAAAUGGACACCAAAGGUGUCUGUCCCCUGGAUUGGACGAUCCAGAGACCAUCAGUGAUCUUGGCAGGGGCCUUUUCUUUAUUUCUUAACCAGAUGAUGAGGAAGCUGGAGCAGGCCAAGGAAGAACCUAACCCCAGUGGGUUGAAGAAAGGCCAGGAGGUAGCAGAGUGGGGUCUACCAGUGUAGACCUCUCUUCCGGAGGUGACACUCUCCAAGUUUUAAGGACAGCUCACCGAGGCCGUCCAGUAAGCAGUGAGGGAUUUCUUCCCACCAUGUGAAGGUUCAAGAGGUUGGUGGUCCGCAGCCUGGGAAAGGGCUCUCGCCAGACACAGCAUCAGCCAGCCCGUUGAUCGUGGAGCUCCCAGCCUUCAGAACUGUCAGGAUUAAAUAUUUGUUUUUGCA